GAUGAACGCUGGCGGCGUGCCUAACACAUGCAAGUCGAGCGAUUCUCUUCGGAGAAGAGCGGCGGACGGGUGAGUAACGCGUGGGUAACCUGCCCUGUACACACGGAUAACAUACCGAAAGGUAUGCUAAUACGAGAUAAUAUGCUUUUAUCGCAUGGUAGAAGUAUCAAAGCUCCGGCGGUACAGGAUGGACCCGCGUCUGAUUAGCUAGUUGGUAAGGUAACGGCUUACCAAGGCGACGAUCAGUAGCCGACCUGAGAGGGUGAUCGGCCACAUUGGAACUGAGACACGGUCCAAACUCCUACGGGAGGCAGCAGUGGGGAAUAUUGCACAAUGGGCGAAAGCCUGAUGCAGCAACGCCGCGUGAGCGAUGAAGGCCUUCGGGUCGUAAAGCUCUGUCCUCAAGGAAGAUAAUGACGGUACUUGAGGAGGAAGACCCGGCCGUAACU
rnacentral:rRNA from 1 species